rnacentral:tRNA from 2 species
UAAAGAGUAGUUUAAUUGGGAAAACGAAGAACUUUGACUUCUUUGUUAUGGGUUCGAUUCCCAUUUCUUUAA